rnacentral:lncRNA from 1 species
GUAAGAAUAGAUAUCAUUACAAGUUGUUUUGUCUGUCUGUCUGUCUCUCUCUCUCUCUCUCUCUCUCUCUCUGUGUCUCUCUCUCACUCACUCUCUGUCUCUCUCUCUCUGUCUCUCUCCCUCACUCACUCUCUGUCUCUCUGUCUCUGUCUCUGUCUCUGUCUCUCUCUCUUUCUCUCUGUUGCAUGAGUAUGAUUUCUAUGGCAUUACAUGCACUUAUGUGCCACAGUGUGCACAUGAAAGUCCAAGGACGACUUUCAGGAGUCAGUUCUCACCCUGCCCUCUUGUUUCUUGCUGCUGCAUUGACUACUCCAGACUAGCUAGCCUGAGAGCCUCCAGGUGAUUCUUCUGUGUCUACCUCCCAUCUCCCCACAGGAGUGCCAGGAUUACAGAUGCGCAUCACGGCAUCUGACUUCUAACGUGGUUCUGGGGAUCUGAAUUCAGGCCAUCAGACCUGCACAUCGAGUACUUUCACUCACUGAGUCACCUCACCAGCCUGAUUAGAAUGUUUGUGCAGGUGGUUGGGAGUGGAGCAACUUUUUUUUUUCUUCUCAAAAUCUUAUUGGCAAUAAUUUACAUACUCUAGGAUCCUUAUCUAGAGCCCUGUUAUUUUAAGGCUGGUCCUGGGGAAAUACCAGUGUUAACUCCUAAGAGCUUUAUAGAAACUCAGAACUGGAAAUUGUUUUAUCUUCUGAGGAUCCCUGGUUGACCUGAUCUGAACACACACCAAAGCAUACGCCAAAUGUUCUGGGAUCCUAAUUGGUGGGAAAUUAUUUUAUUUGUUUUCAGGAUUCCUUGUAAUUCACGAUCAGGGUUCUAAAUUGUGUAGUUGAAGUAACUGGGCUUUCAGAAUCUUGCCUGAUGCUAAGAGGGUGAAAAACCACUUGUCUAGGGGAAGUGUUGGGGAAAUGAAAGAGGCAAGAUUUAGUCAGCUUCCUUUCCAGAUCUGAGAAGUUUACUCAACAAAUGUCUGCCUUUCUGCAUCGCAUGUUAGUGGUUAUGUUGCUGCUGUGGGUGAAAGUUCAAGACUAUGUAAGCAUAUCUGAGUUGUUCUAGCAAACUACCACAGACUGUAGUCAGAGUGGUUCAUAAACAGCAGGUCCUUAUUUCUCACAGUGCUCGGGUUUAGGAGGUCCAAGAUCAAGGUGCUGGCAGAUUCAGGAUCUGGCAAGGAUUCACUUCCUGCUCAUAGACAAAGCCUCUUCUCUGUGUGUCCUCGCCAGGGAGAAAGGGCAAGAAUUCCCUUUGCCAGCCUCCUUUUAUAAGUGUGUUAAUCUCAUUCACUGACAUUCAUUCUCAUGACCUAAUAGACCCCAGAAAGUUCCAUAUGAUAAGACUCAAUUUGGAGGUGUUGGUGAGAAGUUCCCAUGAAUUUGGGGGGGGGUGUGCAUAAGCAUUCACCUGCAGACUCCUCAUGUGUCUUCCUGCUAUGGAAGUCAAGCUGAUAGGUUUCCAAGAAGCCUGAACAAAACUUUAGGGUGGUCCCAAGGGACAUCUGACACAGGAUUCAAAUUGAUAAAGAAAACCCUAGACCACAGGGAUACAAGAAGAUAGGGCAUCUUCAUGAUAAAGAAAAUUAACAAUUUGAGAUACCCAUAAAAUAGGAAAAUAUUUCUACUCAAGGUCGUAUUGAGUAUCACGAUUUUAAUAUUCUUAUUGAAGAGAUAUCACAUAAAAGAAAUAGCUCUGUGUGAGCAACGUUUACACCAAGUGUUAAUCGUGCUGGAUUUCUUGAUUCUCAGCUAGCCAGAGGUUUCAACCAGAAGAGUGGGGGUUUCCAUUCCCUCCCUGUAUCUCAUAAUACACCCUAUUUUCUGUCCUGCUUCAAUGUCAAAGGGUGUGGCUCUGCUCUGUCCUUCCAGGGAGGCAGAGGAUAGUUUGUAACAAAGAAACAGCAGUAUCAAGAAAGAUUCAGUAGUGCUCUGUUCUCAAACUAAGAGUCAGAAUUAAGGCAGGCAGCAUUCCAUCAAGAAACAAAUUUCUGUGCCUUAGCCCAAGGUCUGCAGCCUAAUGUCUCCACUGUAAAUCUGCUGUUGAGACUUCAGUCAGAGUUCCAUUGGUAGAACACGUGCCUGCCAUGUAAGCAACCGUGGCUUCCAUCUCUGACACUUAUAACCAAGCAACUAGCACAUGCCUGUAAUCUCAGCUCCGCUGUUCAGGGUCAUCCUUUGCUACCUGUUACGUUUGAGGCCAGGCUGGGGUACAUACGACUGUCUCAAACAAGCACAAGACCACAUUCAUGUUUGCGAGGGCUUCCUUAGACCUUCUUUAUUUAACACAGAUCCCCAAUCCUUGGACUUAUGCACAUUCACCAUCUUGAACUCUUGCUUUAAGUGCCCAGAUCCACUCAGCUCAUUCCUCCCCCUGCCCUACAUUCUAAGCCAUUUGAUCCUUUAAUAACCUCUCCAGAAGGCCUGACACCAUGUCAGUUAUCCCAAACUCUACUUCUGGGAUAAAGCUCCUUUGGUUAAAAGAAAUUAAAAUUAAAGUUUAAAGG